UUUUCCAACAGGUUUGUUUGAACUUAAGGAAACACACAGUUGUUUGAGGACCCCAGUGUGCUACAGGCAAAAGUUGUAACCUUCAAACUCUCAAAAAGCCCAUAAAACAUAAAACAGUUGGUCGAGCCGACGCAGCGCUGAGCUCUCAGCGGUGGAGGAAUGCAUCGUAUUUUGUUCCCAUUACCAGCCUGCCAACUCCCGGCUCCGUCUGGUGCAGCGUCCCAUCAGCCCACAGGCUCAGCUGACUGAUCGAUAGACCACUUAGCGGCCGUGAGCUACACAUCCCAGUCAUUUGACCUGCAGGAGCUGUGGGAAUAGGCACGCAAUCCAAUAAGCAUCGAGCCGGUGAGACAAGCGAGCCUGACCGCCAACUUGAGGAACUUCCCUCCUCUGUGCUCCGGAUCUGCAGAUUCUGCCCGUUUCAGCUAUCGUCACACAUUUAUGGUGAGAUGAAGAUGAGAUAUUGAUUUCACCUCCUCCUCAAUAAAGCAACUAAAGACAUCUGGAUUAGUUCCACAAGCCAAUUCUCCAUAGCAAGUGCAGGGAAAGACAGGGACGUACUUCAUUCUGUAUAUCGUAAUCUAAACUUUGUGCAGAAUUUUUAAAUAAAAGACUCGUAAUAAACACACAUUUUUGCAAUUUUUGCCCUAAAAGGACCUGAUAACACUCACAUUGAGAUGUUCAUUUAUUCAAUCUAUUUGCAAGUAAACCAGAGCUCAUCAUCAUCAUAGUUUGACAAUAUUUUGAAGCAAAAAAAAAUCUCAAACCCUUGCUUGUGCCAUCAUCAUAAAUAUAUGUACUGCUUUUUCUUUGUUUUAUUUCGCUGUAAACUCACAAUCUUUAGGAUUUGGUCCACUGGUUGGACAAAACUUGCGAUGUGAACAUGUUGUGAGAAGAUUUUCUUUAAUAAUUUAUAGACAAAAUAAUAAUUUAUAUAAUCAAGAAACUAAUAAGCUGAUUUAUUGAUAAUGAAAAUAUUUCUUCUUUCCUUCUUCUGCAAUAAAGUAUACUGUGUGAAUUGUGAAAAUAA